UUUUUCAUAUAAGCGCGCUUUGGUCGAGUCGAGUUGUUUGGGAGUACAGCUCUAAUUGGGUGGUAUACUUCAUCUAAAGCUAAAUAUAGACAAGAGUCCGAUAGAGAACAAGUACCGCGAGGGAAAGAUGAAAAGAACUUUGAGAAGAGAGUGAAAUAGUGCUUGAAAUUGUUUAGGGGAAAAGCGAAUGGAGUUUUAUGUUUUUUCAUGCAUGUUUCAUUUUUUUUUAAUAAAGGAAUGGUUUCGUGUUGAAAAAGAAAAAUCGAAGUUUUUUUUAUCAUUUUUCUGUUUUGUCAUUUCUGUAAGUAACAAUACAAUGGCUUCGGUUUUAAGUUUUAUGUCAGUUUCCUUUUUGUUAGCGUAAAGAGAUAUAUGUAUAGAAGAUGUUUAUUUUA
rnacentral:rRNA from 1 species